GGACUACACGGGUUUCUAAUCCUGUUCGCUCCCCACGCUUUCGCUCCUCAGCGUCAGUUCCGGCCCAGAGACCCGCCUUCGCCACCGGUGUUCCUCCUGAUAUCUGCGCAUUUCACCGCUACACCAGGAAUUCCAGUCUCCCCUGCCGGACUCUAGUCUGCCCGUAUCGACUGCAGGUCCAGGGUUGAGCCCUGGAUUUUCACAGCCGACGUGACAGACCGCCUACGAGCUCUUUACGCCCAAUAAUUCCGGACAACGCUUGCACCCUACGUAUUACCGCGGCUGCUGGCAC
rnacentral:rRNA from 1 species